AGAGUGAACGCUGGCGGCAGGCCUAACACAUGCAAGUCGAACGGCAGCGGGCAGUAGCAAUACUGUGCCGGCGAGUGGCGGACGGGUGAGGAAUACAUCGGAAUCUACCUUGUCGUGGGGGAUAACGUAGGGAAACUUACGCUAAUACCGCAUACGAACCAUGGUUGAAAGCGGCGGACCGCAAGGCGUCGCGCGAUUGGAUGAGCCGAUGUCCGAUUAGCUAGUUGGCGGGGUAAAGGCCACCAAGGCGACGAUCGGUAGCUGGUCUGAGAGGAUGAUCAGCCACACUGGAACUGAGACACGGUCCAGACUCCUACGGGAGGCAGCAGUGGGAAUAGUUGGACAAGUGGGGGACAACCCGUGAUCCGAGCCAUGACCGCGUGUGUGAAAGACGGCGUUCGGUAGUAAGCUACGUUUGGUAGGGAAGAAAAGAUAACGUGGUUAACUACGUUGGUGU
rnacentral:rRNA from 1 species